ACGCCACAGUUGCCAGCUCGUCCUCCGGGGAUGGUGGGGACGACUGUUGGGACCGCCUCUGCUAAAGAGGAGGAAGGAAUGGGCAACGGUAGGUCAGCAUGCCCCGAAUUAUCUGGGCUACACGCGGGCUACAAUGGGUGGGACAAUGGGUAUCGACACCGAAAGGUGAAGGCAAUCUCCUAAACCCAUCCGUAGUUCGGAUUGUGGGCUGCAACUCGCCCACAUGAAGCUGGAAUCUGUAGUAAUCGUGUCUCAAAAUGGCACGGUGAAUAUGUCCCUGCUCCUU
rnacentral:rRNA from 1 species